UGGUGUAAUUGCUUUCAAACCUUCUGCUGCCUGACUGAAAGCUACAUCAUAUGAUCCAACAGCACAUGAUUAGCAGUUUAAUAUAGUCUCUGGAACAAGGCAUGCAAAAGAAGUUUUUAAAAACUAAUCUCAGCUUUCUUUCUUAAGGAAGUCUCUAGCUCUCAUGGUUGCAAAGAAAACCGCAAGAAUAUGAACUGAUUGUAACCGAUGCAGAGAUGUUCAGUGAGUCUGCACAAAGCUCUGAGCUGCCCCAUUCUUCUCAGUGAGGAGUUAACACAGAUGCCUACUGAUGGCCAUUUAUAUACCAACAUUUUUGUAUUCCUCAUGUAAGAACGGAGAAGCAGGAUCGCAGAUCUUCACAAUUUAAGCCCCCUCCAAGGCUUGAGAAUUACUUUUAGAGAUGGACGUAAGCUGCAGCUGCCCUCCAGAUAGCUAUGUCUGAAAUCAGCUGGCAAAGCUUCUAAUGGAUCAGUGCCCAAACCAUGACCCACCAUCACAAUUAGCACAUGCAUCUCAUCAGAGAGACCACAGCCAGAAUGGGCAUGUGGAUUGAAGAAUCCUCUCAUCCCUAGAGAGGGGCCCCUCUAGAAGACACUGGAGGCUCAUUGGUGAAGAUUGUACAGCCACCGUUCAUGUUACAUGGAGAACAUCAGCCUCUAAGGCUGUCAAUCUAGCACUACCAUCACUUGCAAAAAAAUGUAAAUGUAAAGGAGCAGAUCCGCAGCUAGCGUGUACAGGCGCAACUUCCUGGACUUUGAUGGAACUACACCGAUGUUCACAAGUUGAGAAUUUGGCCCCCAAAGUGAAGAAACUGAAAACAAUAUUAAAAGAGAGACUACAGUUUAUACGCUCCAUUCUUCAGACAUGGCUUUGAAAACCUAGGGUUAUUCUUCUGCCCAACAGGAAAAGACCUGGAGCAAUAGAAUCAGUUUAAGGAACAUCCAGCGAAAUGAUUUGGGUGAUUCGUGUUAGGAGUUAGACUGGUUGCCCACUUCUACAGGAACUUGUGCAAUUUAUUGAUACAGCUCUGUCAGAUACAAUCUUCUUUGCUUCAUUUGUGCCCAGCUGCUAUUGUCUCACCACACAGGGAAUUGUCUGCAUAGUGAAGCCCCUCAAGGAGCUGUACGGUACGUUAAUAACCUGUCUUAUAACAGCCAUCACAAGAAAACUGAUCAGGGGUCUUGGUCCUAUGACAGUUAUUGGAAAGUGCAAAGUACUCUCAGCUCCUUUCGGAGCCAGCGGAAUUUGAGGCCACUUGGCACUUCAGAAGAGGAGCUUGGAACCUUACAGGACAUGGGUAAUGGGUUGCAUACAUCAUAUUACUGAUGCAAUGUGUGUAAGGGUAGUUCCCAUUGACAGCCAUGUCAUAGUCAUACAUUUCUCCAAUAUCAGAUCAUUUUAAUUUUGAAUAUAAAGAAACACAGUCAUCCAAAAUGAGAGGCUUAAUUGUGGCACUCUCGCUCACGGGUACUGGGUUGAUAUAAGUGCCAAGAAAGAAUUUUCCUCCACUGCAUAAUGGAAUUUCUUGGCCUUCCUUUGUAGCUACAACUGUUUGUUAGGAGGAUGUGGGGCACAAUUCAUAUGACUGAUGGCUCUGUGGGUAUGCUUAUGCUAAACAGUCUGU